GACGAAGGAUGCAAGCGUUAUCCGGAUUCAUUGGGCUUAAAGGGUGCGUAGGCGGUCUUGUAAGUCAGUGGUGAAAUCUCGCAGCUUAACUGCGAAACUGCCAUUGAUACUGCAGGACUUGAGUACAGAUGCUGUGGGCGGAAUAUGACAUGUAGUGGUGAAAUACAUAGAGAUGUCAUAGAACACCGAUUGCGAAGGCAGCUCACAAAACUGUAACUGACGCUGAGGCACGAAAGUGCGGGGAUCAAACAGG
rnacentral:rRNA from 1 species